rnacentral:lncRNA from 1 species
AACACCCUUAGAGCACAGGAAUCCACUUAGCAUAAGUGCAUGGAAAGCAGCUAAGUAGACUACAAAAGCACUUGCCAAAAGAAAGCCACCAAACAUGUCAUUCAGAUUGAUGGAUCAGCAGUUGCGCGAUCUUUGCCGUCGUACUUGUGCGCGAAAUAAUCAAGGACCCAAGCAUUAAAAGUCUGGUCGCUAGCACAAUUCAGGAAACCACGGAAAACUUCUUGUUCUGGCUUAGCAAGAUAGGUUGCUAACUCAAUUUUCUCAUUUGCUGGGAGAGUUAGCGACUCAAUGUGCUUCCAAAGAUUGGCAUUAGGGUCUGUAGCUGCUAUUGGCUGAAUAGGGGCGGCAGAUUUCACAGUUUCAGCAAGACUCACAAUGCUCGCUGCCACAUCAUCAUCUAACACUCUGGCUCGACGCGCCUUGACCUUUGGUUUCUUCUUAUGUGGUGCUUUAACAUGCUUGCGCUUCAGAUUUGAGCUAGUGCCUUCUGCUGGACUGUUGGGUGCAAUCAUGUCAGAAUCACUAAGACCUUGUUCAGCAGUGGAUGUGUGGCUGCUUGUUUCACUACUACCAUCAGAUUCCACAUUCUCACUUGCAUUAUUCACAUCAAUAGCAAGUGAGCCAUCCGCAUGAGAUGAGUCACUAAACAGUUCUUCCAAGAGAUGAUAAAACUUGAUGGAAUGAGUAAGGUAGUUAAAUUUUAUUUUCUGCAACAUAAACCAAAGCAUAUCAAUGCAAUAAAUUGUUUGAGUAGUCUGGUCAAUUUAAAAGCACAACAAUGAUUAUAAAACAAGUGUAUAACUGGUGGAGACCAUAUAAUCUAUGUAAGUGAAUAUUUUGACAGUGGUAAAUGCAAAACAGGAAUAUCUAUUAACACUGGCAUGCCAUUUUCAAAUUAAAAACUAGCUAAUCAGUUUAGCAAAAACAAGAAUGAUCGCAUAGAGAACUAUAAAUCAUGCAAAUAGAAAGGUGAGCUGGAGCGAACUUACGCCAAGCUUGCUUGGUGAUUUCUCUGACUUGUCAAUGUUAAAUUUGUUAAGUACUUUAUCGAAGCCAUAUCCACUCCUCCCCUUUGCUAGCUUUAUCCACUUCCAUUUCUCCUUGAAUGACCUAAAGUGUCGAUCAACUUGUUUCGCUGUAGCUGUAAUUCCAAACUUGUCAUUCAAAUCAUUAGCACAUUGUAGAUGGUGUUGUGCCUUCCACUUGAAGGUUGGUGGCUUGUCCCUUUGCUUCUCGAUAUACCACUCAAGCAUAUACUUGGUACAAUCAUCACUCCAUGACAUGUAAUUAUCACGAGAGCGAGCAACCUCACGCUUGGCACCUUCUUUUUGCUCACCCAUUCUAUAAAUGAAGGUCAGAAGUCAAUAUGCUAUUAUGUCAGCGAAUAUACAAGGGUUUCAGCACAAGCAGACAAUCCAUACAUUACCCAACAGUACAUUCCAAAAUAAAAGUACAGUUGCACAAUACAUGGAAAAGAAAAUUACAGAGCUAGAUUAACACAAAAUGUCUAAACUGCUAAAUGAGGGAAAUGUACUACAGCAAGGUAGUUUCAAAUGGUACUAGCACUACUCCCGCUGUCCGAAGCAUCAUUGUUCGCCAAUCUCUCUCUAUCAUUCCACAUCUGUUGGGCAAUCGAAUCACGCUUGGCUGCCCACUCGCGUACAUCACUCUCUCGGUCGGAGACACGAUUGCUACUCCUUGGCAGGUGGUUGUACCAAGUCGGUUCGUCAUCUACAAACUCACCGGGUCCGUUGUCUAAAAUCCAGUUGUGAAUGACGCAACAAGCAAUAACCACCUUGGGUUGUGAUUUCAAGGGUACGAAAGGUCUAUUACUAAGAAUCUUGAAACGAUUCUUAAUAGCUGCAAAGGCUCGCUCGACCGUUGUCCUCAGUGAGGAAUGACGGUGGUUGAACAGCUCUUUUGGAGAGGUUGGACGAUUCGGACCAUGGAACUCCUGCAGAUGAUAGCGAACACCUCGAUAGGGUGGCAAUAUGCCCCGCCUGGUGGCAUACCCAGCAUCAGCCAAAUAAAAUUUUCCUACAUACAUAGUGGAAUACCACCUUAAGUUAAUUUACUAUGUUUAGACUAAACAACAUUUUUUAAAUGUGCAAUUACCUUCUGGAAUUUUGAGACCGUUUGGUCGAGAUAGGGCAUCAUGCAAUACAGCAGAAUCAUGAGUAGAUCCCUCCCACCCUGCUAGAACAUACGUGAAUCUAAGAUCGAAAUCCACGGCAGCUAGGACAUUCUGUGUGGGAUAUGGCUUGCGGCCCCUAAACCUGUCCACAUAUUUUGAAGGCACACGUGCCCUAAUAUGGGUGCCAUCUAGUGCCCCUAUACAUCCCUAGAAAAAAAAUUAAACGUGUGUGAAUUAGAAUGAACUUAGUUUGGAAAUUAACUAGUAUAACACACUGGUUAGAGUUACCUCAAAGUAGGGAUAAAAUUUGUUUGGGUUGGUAGUGACCUUAGCAUGUGUAUCUGUAGACCGAGUGCAGAUUAUUUCACGGGCUAACUUCACAAGGGCACAUAGGACGAUGUUAAAAUACCUACUCACUGUCUCUUCAGAUCGCCACAAUGCAAAUCCUACAGAGGAAUGAGUGUGAUAUUGCCCAACAAUUUUCAGAAACAUAGCUAGCUGCUCCUCUACGGACACAUGAAUUGUGUCAGCCAAAAGCUUUUUGUCCCUAAGGUGAGCACACAGCUUGUAGAAAACGGCCGGAUACAUCCUGAGCUGGCGCAAACACGUCCUUUCCGAGGUGUCGAUCAGUCUAAUUAGUUCAGUACUCCUCCAAAUAUCUCUCUUGACAAGUGGACCAUACUUGACACGUUUAGCUCUAUUCUUCCUCUCUUUUUUCUUGCUCCACCAAAGGACCAACAUUACAAAAAGGACAAGUAGUGUGCGUUGCCUCCACAUACAGUAAUAUAGAUAUUGUUGUUGAGAAUUAUCCAUCUGAGUAAAGAUAAGAUGCAUAAGCAUAAAAGAAAAUGGAAAAGCAAUGCAAAGCAUGUACAAGCAGAUAGUAAAUAAUUUGUCAAUAUAUAUAAAAAAUUCAACCAAAGCUGUGUGACUUCUGUUGUCAAAAGCAAGAUGAUACUGCUCUGUCUUUCAGGCCCUCAAAUAAAUUAGAAGAGUAUUAGGUGUCAGCCCUCCCACCGUGGCAGUAGAAAAGUAUGAGGGCACAUGGUGUACUGAUAUGCUAGCAUCAAUUAGUUUAGCAUAAUCUUUAAGCAAGGUAUUUAGCUUCAGAUUUAAGCAGAUGGAAGGUACUAAAAUAACUCUGAACCGUGCCUGAAUCCUGUACCAAGUACAAGACAGAUUUUAGCAUAAUCUUUAAGCAAGGUAUUUGGCUAGCCGCGUGCGCAUCUGGUCGGAGCGGGCCGAGAUCCCCAGCGCGGAGGAGGCGCGCAUGUCGAUCCCGGCGGUGCGCGGCGACGAGGUGUUCGAGGUGCUCUGCUCCUACCGCGGCGCCAACCUGUGCUGGGCGCACCGCGUGCGCAUCUUCUGGAACCCCGGCCACGACGUGCUCCUCUGCAGGGAGGACGGCGGCGGGUGCAAGGUCCGGUUCCGGGAGGACGGCGGCGUGGAGAAGCAGUACGGGACGCUGGGCAGCAGCCACGGGAUGGAGACGCAGCCGCCCAUGUUCCUCGGCUUCGCGCCGGACUUCGACAACGCCAGGGACGGCGGCUGCGCCUCGUCCAGCUGCGUCGGCAGGACCGUCAACCGGGUCAUCGGCGAGGAGAGCUGCUGCGACGACUCCUGCGGCGGGUGGGAGAAGGCAAACCCAAAGACGUCGUCCUGAUGACGAUCCUCCAUUGUAGAAUACCUUCCUGGUUUCUUUUUUCCUGUAUGUAUGAUGUUGAUGAUGUAGAGGCUGAUUGGUUUGCAGCCAAUUUUUGGCAUGCCAAUUGUUGGCAAGCCUAUUUUUGGCAAAGCUGGAAGUUGCCAACAUUUGGCAUGUUUGGCUACCAAUUGGUUGGUUGCCAGUUUUUCGCCAAUAUUUGGCAAAAAAACAUGUGUCUAUCAAUUGGUUUGUUACCAAAUAUGCAUAACUCGUCCCGACAAGUAAUUUGUUACCUAAGCAAGCCAAUACAUAAUUUACACGCCAGGUCAUACCAUGGGCAUAAUUUACUAAUUUAGAAGCAUCUUCAUAGCACUGCAAUAUUGCAACGUAGCAUGCACAAGGCCAUCCACCAUCAAGUAAUUUCUUACAAACUAGCUUAAUUCAGAUUUGUGCUACAGCAAUGCAUUACAAAAGGUAAGACCCUCUAAACACCCUUAGAGCACAGGAAUCCACUUAGCAUAAGUGCAUGGAAAGCAGCUAAGUAGACUACAAAAGCACUUGCCAAAAGAAAGCCACCAAACAUGUCAUUCAGAUUGAUGGAUCAGCAGUUGCGCGAUCUUUGCCGUCGUACUUGUGCGCGAAAUAAUCAAGGACCCAAGCAUUAAAAGUCUGGUCGCUAGCACAAUUCAGGAAACCACGGAAAACUUCUUGUUCUGGCUUAGCAAGAUAGGUUGCUAACUCAAUUUUCUCAUUUGCUGGGAGAGUUAGCGACUCAAUGUGCUUCCAAAGAUUGGCAUUAGGGUCUGUAGCUGCUAUUGGCUGAAU